rnacentral:rRNA from 1 species
CCUACGGGAGGCAGCAGUGAGGAAUAUUGGUCAAUGGCCGGAAGGCUGAACCAGCCAAGUCGCGUGAAGGAAGACGGAUCUAUGGUUUGUAAACUUCUUUUAUAGGGGAAUAAAGGUAUCCACGUGUGGAUAUUUGCAUGUACCCUAUGAAUAAGCAUCGGCUAACUCCGUGCCAGCAGCCGCGGUAAUACGGAGGAUGCGAGCGUUAUCCGGAUUUAUUGGGUUUAAAGGGUGCGUAGGUUGUUUGUUAAGUCAGCGGUGAAAGUUUGUGGCUCAACCAUAAAAUUGCCGUUGAAACUGGAGGACUUGAGUGUGGUUGAGGUAGGCGGAAUGCGUGGAGUAGCGGUGAAAUGCAUAGAUAUCACGCAGAACUCCGAUUGCGAAGGCAGCUUACUAAGCCAUAACUGACACUGAAGCACGAAAGCGUGGGUAGCAAACAGGAUUAGAUACCCCUGUAGUC